rnacentral:tRNA from 1 species
GGGGCGGUAGCUCAGCUGGUUAGAGCAGCGGACUCAUAAUCCGUCUGGUCGCGGGUUCGAGCCCCGCCCGCCCCA